AGGAUUCCCCUAGUAACUGCGAGUGAAGCGGGAAAAGCUCAAAUUUAAAAUCUGGCGGUUUCACYGUCCGAGUUGUAAUCUGGAGAAGCAUUUUCYGCGUCAGACCGUGUACAAGUCUCUUGGAAYAGAGCGUCAUAGAGGGUGAGAAUCCCGUCCAUGACACGGAYUACUGAUGCUUUGYGAUAUGCUCUCGAAGAGUCGAGUUGUUUGGGAAUGCAGCUCAAAAUCGGGUGGUAAAUUCCAUCUAAAGCUAAAUAUUGGCGAGAGACCGAUAGCGAACAAGUACCGUGAGGGAAAGAUGAAAAGCACUUUGGAAAGAGAGUUAAACAGUACGUGAAAUUGUUGAAAGGGAAACGCUUGAAGUCAGUCGCGUUGUCUGAGACUCAGCCUUGCUUGCAUGGUGUACUUCUCAGUUAACGGGUCAACAUCAAUUUCAGUUGGUGGAUAAAGGCAUURGGAAUGUGGCACCUUYGGGUGUGUUAUAGCCYUUUGUUGCAUACACUGACCGGGAUUGAGGAACGCAGCACGCCACUAAGGCCAGGGGUUCGCCCCAUGUAACGUGCUUAGGAUGUUGGCAUAAUGGCUUUAAGCGACCCGUCUUGAAACACGGACCAAGGAGUCUAACAUGCYUGCGAGUAUUAGGGUGGAAAACCCUUGUGCGUAAUGAAAGUGAAAGUUGGGACCUCUCGCGAGGGCACCGACGCCCGGCCCUGAAGUUUACGGACGGYGCUGCGGUAGAGCAYGUAUGUUGGGACCCGAAAGAUGGUGAACUAUGCCUGAAUAGGGUGAAGCCAGGGGAAACUCUGGUGGAGGCUCGUAGCGAUUCUGACGUGCAAAUCGAUCGUCAAAUUUGGGUAUAGGGGCGAAAGACU
rnacentral:rRNA from 1 species